UGCCCAGACUCCUACGGGAGGCAGCAGUGGGGAAUAUUGCACAAUGGGGGGAACCCUGAUGCAGCGACGCCGCGUGGGUGAAGGAGUAUUUCGGUAUGUAAAGCCCUAUCAGCAGGGAAGAACAAUGACGGUACCUGACUAAGAAGCACCGGCUAAAUACGUGCCAGCAGCCGCGGUAAUACGUAUGGUGCAAGCGUUAUCCGGAUUUACUGGGUGUAAAGGGAGCGCAGGCGGCGCGUUAAGCCUGGUGUGAAAGCCCGCGGCCCAACCGCGGGACUGCAUUUGGAACUGUAAGGCUAGAGUGUCGGAGAGGCAGGCGGAAUUCCUAGUGUAGCGGUGAAAUGCGUAGAUAUUAGGAGGAACACCAGUGGCGAAGGCGGCCUGCUGGACGAUGACUGACGUUGAGGCUCGAAAGCGUGGGGAGCAAACAGGAUUAGAUACCCCAGUA
rnacentral:rRNA from 1 species